CCACGGAUGUUCGAGCAUGUGCU
rnacentral:miRNA from 1 species